AUUGAACGCUAGCGGGAUGCCUUACACAUGCAAGUCGAACGGAGUGGCGAACGGGUGAGUAAUGUAUCGGAACGUGCCCAGUCGCGGGGGAUAACUACGCGAAAGCGUAGCUAAUACCGCAUACUAUUGGAGCGUGCGAUAUCGGAUUUGCUAGUUGGUGGGGUAACGGCCCACCAGGGCAACGAACCGUAGCUGGUUUGAGUGGACGACCAGCCAUCCUGGAACUGAGACCCGGCCCAGACUCCUCCGGGAGACUGCGUGGGGGAAUUGUGGACAUUGGGGGAAACCCUGAUCCAGCCAUCCCGCGUGUGCGAUACGGGCUUUCGGGUUGUAAAGCACUUUUGGCAGGAAAGCGGUACCUGCUGAAUAAGCACCGUCUCACUACGUGCCAGCAGCCGCGGUAAUAC
rnacentral:rRNA from 1 species